rnacentral:SRP_RNA from 1 species
GCCGGGCGCGGUGGCGCGUGUCCGUGGUCCCAGCUAUCGGGAGGCUGAGGCUGGAGGAUCGCCUGAGCCCAGGAGUUCUGGGCUGUAGUGCACGAGGCCGAUCGGGUGUCUGCACUAAGUUCGGCAUCAAUAUGGCGAGCUCCCAGGAGCCGGGGACCACCAGGUUGCCUAAGGAGGGGUCAACCGGCCCAGGUCAGAAAUAGAGCAGGUCACAACUCCUGUGCUGAUCAGUAGUGGGGUGGCGCCUGUGAAUAGCCAUUGCACUCCAGCCUGGGCAACGUAGUGAGACCCCGUCUCAA